rnacentral:ncRNA from 1 species
AUCCUUUUGUAGUUCAUAAGCGUGAUGAUUGGGUUGCCAAGCGACCAUGAGAUGUGCCACCCACAAAAG